AGCCAGUGACUGGAGAGCGCGCCAGUGCAUCAUGGGAGUCGUCGGCAGCGAGCAUUGUGGGAAAUGUAGUUUGAAGACUCCGCCCUCCUCGCCAUUCCUGUAAUGGCUGCUUCCUGGAAGGCGUUCUCCCGUGGAACCUCUUAGCCCCAGCCUCCGGAGCCCCAGGAAGGGAAUACUUCAAGUUAAAUAAAUAUAUAUACCGUUUCUUUGAACCCUUCUGCCUUCAAGAUCCCAACAUCAUGACCUCAGUUUCAACACAGUUGCUCUUAGUCCUAAUUUCACUGCUUUUGGUAUUGCCUGUUGUUGAAGCAGUAGAAGCUGGAGAUGCAAUCGCACUCUUGUUAGGAGUGGUUCUCAGCAUAACAGGCAUUUGUGCUUGCUUGGGGGUGUAUGCACGAAAGAGAAAUGGACAGAUGUGACUUUGAAGGGCCUCCUGAAUCAAACCUCGCCCUGAAAAUCUUUGUGCUAUUGCAGUUAAGCCUGAGCUUUGGUGUCGGAAAGUUCCAAGAAACAGUAAAUAGAAUAGUUUCACAUUCUUAGUUGUUUCCCUUAAAAUGGGAACCAGACUGAUGUAUGUAAGAGUGGAAGAAACUUUUCUUUACAGCAAGUAAUGCACUGAAAAAAAGAAAAUCCAGCCUAUAAUUUGUAUUUGCUGGUUGGAAAGGGAGUCAAAGAAGUAAUAUGGCAAAAAUUUGCAUAAAUGGUAUUUCAUAGCACAUGAAGCAAGAAGAAGGAAGCUCUUGACCAGAAUCCUAGAAAGUUGCCAUUGUUUAGUUAUGAUCACUGCCUCCUAAUAGUUGAGGAGUCUUUUCUCCAUAUCUUUAUUAGAUUUGUGUUUUAUUUCCCAAGUUAAUAUUGUACUGAGAUAUCAGAUAGCCAAAAAUUAACUUUUACCUCUGGGGAAAAAAAGUUUAGAAAAAAAUUUACUCAAUGUGUCUAAUGUUGAAAUGGAGAAAAGAUUUAAUGUUAAGAAAAACUUCAUGUUAAUAUCAAAAUGGAGAAGAGAUUUAAUGUAAAAAACACAUUGUUAACUGAGUAACAUCUUUAUGUGAGAAAUACUGUGUUAAAUAUAAAUCCAUUAUAAGUUAA